CAGUGUAAUGCUGCUGUAAGUAACUUUACACAAAUGAGUAGUAAUAAUAUUAUAUAAUUCUUCAAGGUGUUAUGCUUCUGAUUUACAUCAUCAUGUAGAACCUACAACUACUUUGCUGAUCAUCAGAUUUGAAAAAGUUGAAUGGACAGGAAGUAACGAUGUGUUUACAAAAUGGAGCUCUAAAGGUCCAAAAAAUAUUGAAUGUCCAGCAUGUGAUCAACUAGCCAAAGGAUAUGUAGAUGGAUGGGAAUUUUUCUGGCUCUCAAAUGCAUCCAGAACUGAAAAUGUUUAAUAUAAUAGAUGGUUUCUUUAGAGAACAUUCAACGCUGUCGGUGAGUUUGAUAUCCGCUGAAACCAUCGACCGUUGACUGUACCCUACAACAACCAUUCCCCAUCCUUGUAGGCGUUUCAUUAACUUAUCCUUUUUCUUUGGAAACCAUUAGUGCAUAUGAUGGUAAAUACACAGUUUAGGAAGACUGUUCUGGCAAAGGUCACAAUCAACAUUCAUUGCUGUCGGUGGGUUGAAUUAUAUGGAAAAGCUCACUGAACAAUGAAUGCCACUGUGGCCCCAAUCAUGACAUUAGAAUUCAACGUGAAAUUAAAAAUUUGGUAGCUGUGGUCUGCGGCAACAAACUCCUGAAUAAAGAAGAUUGCAACAUGUUUAUUUUACUGCUGCAUCAAGUCUAAAUGUAUAUCUGUGAAGUAAAGUUAUAAAGAAAUAUGAAAUAAAAUGUUUAAUGA